rnacentral:lncRNA from 1 species
AUUUUCAAAACUAUAUUGGACGGAAAUAAAACAAACUGGUUAUUUUGUAAUAGAUAUUUCAAAGGACAGGACUUUAAAUAUAUAUUGUAUAUGUUCAGUGGAUCCUGGCUUGGAUAUGAUUUUGCUUGUUUUGACUCCGAUCAUCAAACAGUUGCCAAGGCAACUUACAUUAGAAAGGGAACAGUCAACGUUAUCAUAAAUAUAUUUAUUAUUGUACUUUGCAUGUAUCUGCCCCUUUUUGUAUUGUUGUUGCCGAGUCGUUACAAUGUGGAUCAGUCAAAUGUUCAGUUCUACAGAAAAGGAGAAUAUCCAAAUAGCUUUGCAAGACUGAUGUUUCGAC